rnacentral:rRNA from 1 species
GACGAACGCUAGCUACAGGCUUAACACAUGCGAGUCGAGGGGUAACGAGAGGAAAGCUUGCUUUCCUUGUCGACGACCGGCGCACGGGUGAGUAACGCGUAUCCAACCUGCCCCCAACUAAGGAAUAACCUUGCGAAAGUAAGACUAAUACCUUAUAAUUUCCUCAGAUGUCAUCUGACGAGGAAUAAAGAUUUAUCGGUUGUGGAUGGGGAUGCGUCUGAAUAGCUUGUUGGCGGGGUAACGGCCCACCAAGGCAACGAUCAGUAGGGGUUCUGAGAGGAAGGUCCCCCACAUUGGAACUGAGACACGGUCCAAACUCCUACGGGAGGCAGCAGUGAGGAAUAUUGGUCAAUGGGCGAAAGCCUGAACCAGCCAAGUAGCGUGCAGGAUGACGGCCCUAUGGGUUGUAAACUGCUUUUAUACAGGAAUAAAGUUAGCCACGUGUGGUUAUUUGUAGGUACUGUAUGAAUAAGGACCGGCUAAUUCCGUGCCAGCCGCCGCCGUAA